GAGCAGAGGCGCAGCUCUGCUGGAGAGACCUGAGGCUUGCAGCGCUGGGCCCGGCCGGGUCGCUGCGGCUGGGCUGGAGGAAGCAUCUAACCAAGAUUAAGUCAAAGGCAUCUACCAGGUCCUGAAUUCUCUCCCAGAUGCACACCUUUUAAGGUCAAGGAUGCAUUCCAGGAAAGUUCUAUAAAAAUAUACCAUCAACUCCAACCUGAUAUUUGACCUAGCCAUGGAAAACCUCAUUGGCUCCUCACUGGAUCAGACCAUAAAAAUGAUCCAGGAAUGAAAAUCUAAGAUAAAUUCCCACCACUUCAAGAUGUUCUUAUACAAGUCAACAGUCUAGCAGAUCAGCCAGUCUCUUUCAUCAUCAAGCAGACAUACUCAAGGUACCAACACAGCAAAGGCACAAAAUGUCUCUAUAUCAGUAUUUUUCAUGGUAUAUGUGAGACCCAUUAGUGAGGCAUGAAAUCAAUUCUGUGAGUCACAAUGAACAUUUGUCUAAAAAACAAAAUAAAAUGUAAAAUACCAAA
rnacentral:lncRNA from 1 species